UACGUAGGGUGCAAGCGUUGUCCGGAAUUAUUGGGCGUAAAGGGCUCGUAGGCGGUUUGUCACGUCGGGAGUGAAAACUCGGGGCUUAACCCCGGGCCUGCUUCCGAUACGGGCAGACUAGAGGUAUGCAGGGGAGAACGGAAUUCCUGGUGUAGCGGUGAAAUGCGUAGAUAUCGGAAGGAACAUCAGUGGCGAAAGCGGCUUCCUGGACCAGCACCGACGUUCAGGCACGAAAGCGUGGGGAGCAAACAGG
rnacentral:rRNA from 1 species